rnacentral:rRNA from 1 species
UACGAAGGGGGGCUAGCGUUGCUCGGAAUCACUGGGCGUAAAGGGCGCGUAGGCGGGCGCAACAAGUCACUUGUGAAAUCUCCGGGCUUAACCCGGAGCGGCCAAGUGAUACUGUCGUGCUAGAGUGCGGAAGGGGCUACUGGAAUUCUCGGUGUAGCGGUGAAAUGCGUAGAUAUCAGGAGGAACACCGGUGGUGUAGACGGCUUUCUGGACCGUAACUGACGCUGAGACACGAAAGCGUGGGUAGCAAACAGG